GGUCUUUGUAUUGCCUAUUUGCUUUUGGAAACUAGUGAAUAUGAUGUCAGAAUAGGCAUAAAUAAAUAAAUAUCUUACAGACUUUUUAUGGACUUAUAUUUGAUAUAUUUAGUGCAGGUAUUUCAUAGUAACAACU
rfam:Fukomys damarensis contig105689, whole genome shotgun sequence.